rnacentral:tRNA from 1 species
CGGACCGGUAGUUCAGUCGGUUAGAAUGCCGGCCUGUCACGCCGGAGGUCGCGGGUUCGAGCCCCGUCCGGUCCGCCAC